rnacentral:rRNA from 1 species
GACGAACGCUGGCGGCGUGCUUAACACAUGCAAGUCGAACGGAAAGGCCCUGCUUUUGUGGGCUGCUCGAGUGGCGAACGGAUGAGUAACACGUGAGUAACCUACCCUUGACUUUGGGAUAACUUCAGGAAACUGGGGCUAAUACCGGAUAGGAGCUCCUGCUGCAUGGUGGGGGCUGGAAAGUUUCGGCGGUUGGGGUUGGACUCGCGGCUUAGCGGCUUGUAGGUGCGGUAGUGGCUUACCAAGGCGAUGACGGGUUGCCGACCUGAGAGGAUGACCGGACAAACGAGAAUGGAGAUGGGGCACGGACGAAUCCGGUAGGCAGGGGUGCGGAAUAGAGCACAGUGGACGGGAGGCUGACGUAGAGAAGCCGCGUGCGGUAAGUGGGCAAUGCGUUAGGAAAGUACUUUGCGCUGUGACGAAGAGAGAGUGACGGUAACGGAAAAAGAAGCCCCGGCUAACUACGUG